AACUCUUCUAUCACAGCUCGGAAGGCACAAUCCACAUAGGUCUGCAUGGUCCACCGAGCUGCAUACCCACGGGGCCAGCGGGAGGUGGGCAGCUGCUGGGCUCUCUUCUGAAGCAGACAGGAUCUCACUCUGUUGCUGAGGCUGGAUCACAGCUCCCUGCAACCUUGAACUCUCCCUCAAGCAAUUCUCCCCACUCUGCCUUCCAAAGCACUAGCAUUAUAGGCCUAAGCCACCACUCCCAUCCACUGUAGUGUAAACUGUCUCCUUCAAUGUUUCCAAUAGUUGCGGAGCAGAUCAGAUAAGGGUUCUUCCUGUCUGUUGCUUCAAGUUUCAUUCUCUCUUUAAACAAUACAAGGUUGGCUUCCAUGGUUCCUUCUUAAAGAAUGUUGAAGGUGUGUCUUCAGAUUCAUUUAGUGUUCGUGGAACCCCAGGGAAAGCUGAUGUAAAAACCUCUUUUUUCUCCCAUAUGUCUCAAAAAGUUGUAUUUUCUGGGUCCAAGGGAUCUGCAAGCCUCCUAAAGGCAUUUCCAUUGUCACUACCACCAGGUGUGAACUGUAAUCUGGCACGUAUAGUUCCAAGAACUGUCAUAAUAGAUGCUGAAGAAACAUUGUGAAGUUAACUCGCUGUUACCAACUGUGAAGUCAUUAGCUAGAGGAAUCUUGGGCGGUCUGAAAUCUGAGAUACUGUGGAAAGAACAGAAAGAUCCUGUAUCUUUCCUAUAAUUGUUCUACUGGAAGUUGUCAUUUUACACAGGAGACAUUCUGUUUUAUUUAUUUUCUUUUGAGACAGGGUCUCACUCUGUCGCCCAGGCUGGAGUGCAGUGUUGUUACCACAGGUCACUGGUGCCUCCACUGCCUGAGGACUGCUCAAGCAAUCCUCCUGCCUCAGUCCCCUGAGGAGCUGGGGCCACAGGCCUGCACCACCAUGCCUGGCUAAUUAUUUUUAUUUGUAGAGACAAAGUCUAUCUUGCCUAGGCUGAUCUCGAACUCCUGGGCUCAAGUAAUCCUCCCGCGGUGGCUUCUCAAAGUGCUUGGGAUUACAGAUGUAAGCUACCAUGCCCGGCCUCACAGGAGACAUUUUUGAUGUCCCUCUUGACAGUCUACAAAAGUCUACAAAUCUUUUUUUUUUUUUUUUUGAGACAGGGUCUUGCUCUGUCACCCAGUCUGGAAUGCAGUGGUGCCAUCAUAGCUCACUACAGCCUGAGCUGUACUGAGCUCGAGGGAUCUUCCCGUCUCCGCCUCCUAAGCAGCUGGGACUACAGGUACUUGCCCCCAGGCCCAGAUAAUUUAUUUAAAAACUUUUUUUGUAGAGACAGGGUCUCACUAUGUUGCCCAGGCUGGUCUCAAACUCCUGGCCUCAAACAAUCCUCUACCUCAACCCCCCUAAGUGCUGGCAUUACAGGCAUCAGCUGCCAUGCCUGGCUACAAAUCUUAAUGUUUUCCCCAUGGCUUCUUUUUCUGGCGUUCUUUUCUCAGGUAAUGGAAGUGGGCAGAGAAUGAUCCUUUCCCUAGGCUCCAGUGUGUAAGAAUUAAAGAAAGAGGAAAGAAACACAAUGGCUUGAUGGUCGAGGACAGGUUUAUUUUAAAGAAAACAAACCCAAGAGUGGCUUCUGGCUGAGUUAGAUCAGAGGCAUGCUCUCUUACAGACUAAGAGUUUUUAAGGAUUCAGGGUGGGAGAGUUUAUCAGAGGCUUGGACUGCUUCUGUGUCUCUUUAGGUGUGCUUAUCUGGGAGGGAGUUGUGUGUCUGUUUCCAUACAUCUUCCUGCAGCUGCAGGCAUACCCCCAGGUCUGCUUUUAGCUUCCCUAUCUUAGUGCACCUGAAGGGAAAGAAUGUGCUUAUUAAGGCCCACUGUUAUACUGGGGCCCAAUGUAUGAGGGUGAAGUUUGGCAAUUACCCAAGAGACUUUCCCCCCACCUCCCUCUGUGCCUGAGCUGUCUCAUCUAUGUUUUACUGUCUGCUCUUUCUGUCUGCUUGUUGUUAGAAGAGAAGUGAUUUUCUUGAAAUGCAUGAGGCUGGAAAGGGAGCUGGCACUUAAAGUGGCGGUGUUUGUCCGAGAGGAUGGUGCUCCUGCUCUGUCACAGUGGGCAUGGGGAUUCAGGCCACUGCCACCGAAUUUCAAGAGCCCAAGCACAGAGCCCAGAACUAAAUUGUGAGGGUUUAAAAAAAAAAAAAGCUUUAUUGAAGUAUAAUUGACAUACAAUAAACUUGAAUAUUUAAAGUGU
rnacentral:lncRNA from 10 species